GACGAACGCUGGCGGCGUGCUUAACACAUGCAAGUCGAACGGAAAGGCUCCAGCUUGCUGGAGUACUCGAGUGGCGAACGGGUGAGUAACACGUGGGUAAUCUGCCCUGCACUCUGGGAUAAGCCUUGGAAACUGGGGCUAAUACUGGAUAUGAUCUUUCUCCUUAUGGGGUUUGGUGGAAAGUUUUGCGGUGUAGGAUGAGCCCGCGGCUUAUCAGCUUGCUGGUGGGGUGAUGGCCUACCAAGGCGACGACGGGUAGCCGGCCUGAGCGGGUGAUCGGCCACAUUGGGACUGAGAUACGGCCCAGACUCCUACGGGAGGCAGCAGUGGGGAAUAUUGCACAAUGGGCGGAAGCCUGAUGCAGCGACGCCGCGUGAGGGAUGACGGCCUUCGGGUUGUAAACCUCUUUCAGCAGGGACGAAGCGUAAGUGACGGUACCUGCAGAAGAAGCACCGGCUAACUAUGUG
rnacentral:rRNA from 1 species